AUGCACGCUGGCGGCGUGCCUAAUACCUGCAAGUCGCGCGAACAGACGAGGAGCUUGCUCCUCUGACAUUAGCGGCGGACGGGUGAGUAACACGUGGAUAACCUACCUAUAAGACUGGGAUAACUUCGGGAAACCGGAGCUAAUACCGGAUAAUAUAUUGAACCGCAUGGUUCAAUAGUGAAAGACGGUUUUGCUGUCACUUAUAGAUGGAUCCGCGCCGCAUUAGCUAGUUGGUAAGGUAACGGCUUACCAAGGCAACGAUGCGUAGCCGACCUGAGAGGGUGAUCGGCCACACUGGAACUGAGACACGGUCCAGACUCCUACGGGAGGCAGCAGUAGGGAAUCUUCCGCAAUGGGCGAAAGCCUGACGGAGCAACGCCGCGUGAGUGAUGAAGGUCUUCGGAUCGUAAAACUCUGUUAUUAGGGAAGAACAAAUGUGUAAGUAACUAUGCACGUCUUGACGGUACCUAAUCAGAAAGCCACGGCUAACUACGUG
rnacentral:rRNA from 1 species